CACAAAUGGCGGCGGUGAAGAUCUGCAGCCGAAAGCGCUGGGCCGGAUGACGUCAUUUUUAUCUACGUCAUCGCACGUGUUAUGACGACAGAGCAGAAACAUCUUUUCGAGGCGCCUUAUAGACUCUACAUAAGUUAAACCUAAACGAACCGUAACAUCGGACAGUAUUGACUACAGUUUGAAUUACAAGACAGAAAAAAAGCAACAAAUUGCAGACGUCCAACAUUCCUCCUGCUCACAUGCUUACAUCUUGUGGCGUCGGAUAAAUAGCCAGUAGCCAAGUAUUGAUGCAGCCGUAGUGGAAUAACUGGGAAACUCAUUAUUUUAUCUUUGAAGGAAAAUGUGGCCUUCGGUAUUGUUCAAGGACAGUUUCUAGAGGAUGAAAUAAAGGACUCGUGGUAAUACUAUACAGACCACCAUUAAGAUGAAUGCCAAGACAGCAGUAGCAUCGGUCAAAUAAAUAAAACGUUGAGGAAUUCCAUAGGUGCUGUUUAACAUGUCAUUCUAAUGAUGUAACAAUUUUCAUGGAUCAUGAGAAAUGAAUAUUCUAUUCAGAAGGACAGUGCAGGUUGUUGUAAUGCUAAAAAAAAUGCUUGUUGGAUUGUCAUCGUUGGACUUCAUUACUAACGUCAAUCUUUUCACGCAUUUGAGACUGAACACUUAAUGUUUUCCAGUGAGAAAUGUUUCGGCACGGAAUUACGUACACUAAUAAUAUGGAGAAAAAAAGGAUGAAAAACGUUUUUCACAUGAUCUAUAAUUUCAGUGUUGCAUUAAUUAUUUCCGAAUUGGAAACAUUCAAGAAGUAACAUUGCAGACUUGAUGUUUAUACGCGGUUCUUCUUAUUUUCGUGCCACUUUACAUAUUCGAAGUUUAUAAAGGUCCAUUUGAUUUCAAUAUAAUGUUUGUGAUUGAAUUGUGUAUUAAACUUCAAAUAAACUUCAUAGUUGCAUGUUUUGAUUUAA
rnacentral:lncRNA from 1 species